rnacentral:misc_RNA from 1 species
GCCUUUCACCUUGAUAACACUGUUCUUAGUCCAAUUCUUGAAAGUUCCAAGAGUCUCACCAUAGAAUUUUACAUAUGCUUUCGAUAGUACAAAAAGAUUAAAGAAGCACAAUUGAAAAUACUCCACUAAGAAUUCUAGGAUUCAAUUAUGGAAUUUUAUGUUUAAUUCCCUAAGCUACAUCAAUUGUGAGCCCUUGCAUACUCAUUUCCAUCAUAAAAUAUCUGACAUUAACAUUAAAUUUUAUGUUUCAUUCAGUGUUAUUAAAUGCGAAGAAAGGUGCUGGGCAAGGCACCAAGCGAGGAGAGGUGACCCCCUAGCGCCUCGCCCAGCUAAGGUGAGUCAGCAUUCCAAAGGCGAGUGUCCAAGGCUCCAAGGCAAGAGGCGUGAGAUUUUAAAGGCGAUACCUCUGAGAAAUAACAAUAACUUUUCAUUUUUUUUCUUUAAUUUUAUGUUUUAAAACAACAAAUAGUUAA